UCCUCUGAUUAAGCCUUACAGAUGCAGAGUAUGCAUGUAUGUGGGACGUGCAUGCAGAUCCCCUGCAGAAGAGCUAAAUGCUGCUCAUAUAUAAGGCUUUUAUUACCGAAACACUGGCUAUGGAAGGUCAUGGUGUUACCAGUGAGACUGCCUAUCAGGAAUCAAGGAGUAAGUAAACAUUUGAAAAGUGUUCCUCUGAGAGCAAAGGUUUAGAUUUGAGUCACAGGAUCCACUGAAAAGAAAAAUUGCUUCUGUGCAUUGGGACAGUGUCUUCCCUUCUGAAAACUUUCUACAAAGAAUAAAUGGAGAUAAUCUUUUUACAAGAGGAUUCCCAGGCUAGAAGCUGCCUGAAGGGCCUGCCACUUCCCCUGAAACUGUUUUGUGUGAACCCACGUUUGCCAACAGUCCAAAGUGAAAUUAAUCCACAGGACGGGACAAGAUGGGUUAUUCUGGAAAACUCUAUGUUGGUCCAUUAUUCCACAAAAUCAGAGAGAAACACUUUCUAUUUCUGUCAAAAUAAAAAAAUAAGUUUCUAUAAGGAACUUAAAAAUACCUUUAUAUUUUCCAAACAGAAACUCCAACCUUUCCAAAGUGGAAACUUUUCCUAGUUUCAGACAGCACAAACUGGGUGCAAACUAUAAAUAGUA